AUAUCAUGAUGUGGACACUUUCUCAGAAGAUCAUUGUAUCUCUCCCAAGUAUCAUGGAGUUGUUCACCCGAGAUUUGGGAGAACGCCAUAAUUUCUUUUCUCAUUU